UCAACCACACAAUGUAGCACUCUAGGAAACUUUAAGAAAAAACCACUCUAGAGGAUCCUUGCUCGCAUCAAUGGCCGUGGGCGUGCUGGGCGGUAGCGGAUCCUCUAGAGUAAUCCUCUACAGAAUGAUCUCCUAAAGUGGAUAAUCGGACGGAUCUGCUUAAUACUCACCAAAACAACGACGUCGUUUUGGUGAGUAUUUUGAAAGAACAAAACAGAAUCAGGGAUUUCAAAAGGCAUUUCAAAAUUCCUUUUGACAUGUAUACAGACGGAGUGCGAAGGAGUUCAAAAUUCCUUUCGAGAGUGCGAAGGAGUUCAAAGGAGUGUUUGGGGUUCAAAGGACGAACGGCGGCAGAGGCAGACGAAGCACAACGGAGGACGGAGGACGACGAACCACGACGGAGGACGGAGGACGAACGGGAAUCUGAGGUAAACCUGAAAUCGCAAAGUUAGGGUUGGAUUUUGUUUGCUAUUUCGUGUUAGGGUUUGGGAUUUCAGCAAAAUAAGGGUCUGUGAGGAUUUUGAGGAAUGUUUUGCAAACACAUCUGCAACAGAGUAUGGUCUUUGGAGAGUUCCUUCAGAGUAUGUCAUAUAUUAAGUGUAUAGGCAGUUAAAGUAAACCAAAACUAAGUAAACUUUCUGCUGUUGUGACUACGAACGAGCACUGCAAUUACUUCAGGUGGUUCGCAGAUGAUGACGACGCCGACAACAACAUUACCUCAUCAAUCCGUGCCAAUGCUGGACCUCCGACAGAUUCAAGAACAGAAGAAAUUAAUGAUCUAAGGAGAAGGGUUGGUGAGCAUGAUAGAAGGCUUCAAAGGAUUGAGAAGAUUUUCAAGGCAAUGACUUAUGUCAUUGUAUUUUGUGUAUUUUUGUACUUUAUCAUGUAAAUGACUCAGUUCUUAGGUUUUGGAAAAUUUUUUUGGUGCUUAAAAAUCUGAUGGUUUGCAAAAACAAGUGUGUAACAUGUUUGAUUGAGAUGAAAUGUUGAAUGAACAGUUUCUGAAAUCUAUUACUUUAGGUUGAAUGUUGUAUAGCAGGUUUUUGAAA